GGCCGCUCUGGCCGCGGCGCCUUCCUAAAGGAGCAGAUCAGUAGCAGGUGGUGUGUGAGGACUCCUCCUCACGCUCUGCUGGUGCUGUAGAUGUUUGCCCUGCGUCCCACAAGAACCUGAAUGAAGAGGUGACCAAGCUGCAGAGACGAGGCAGCGGAGGAAACCAGUUCCCAGAGAUCAAACCCACAGCUGAGUUCAGACAGACACACCUGCAGCCUGUGGCCUCAGUGGACAAGGGAGUCGGCACUGCGUGCACUCUUUUACUGACUUGGGAGAACAGACUGGGGGUGGCAGCUCGUCCAGGGAGCCCGACAGACGGCAGCGCAGUGAGAAUGGACGGAGGAUCCUGAACAAGGACGCCAGAAUGACAUGUUGAAUUAGAAUGACAUUGAGACAACAGGACAGGAGAAGCUGCGGAGGAAAAUACUGAUUUAUUUGGAUGCUUUGCUACACAUUUUAACUGUAAUGGAUUAUGUGUUCUUGUAGUCUCAGGUGAUGCUGUCCUGUGUGUGACGUGUCCGUUGAAAACAUGAUAUUUCAAGACUGUCGUCUCAAAGGAGGAAUGGUGUUUGGUGAUCUGGCUCUAAAGCAAAGCGUGGUGUCUGACUGAUCAUAUCCAAUGACUUGUUCUACCUGACGAUGUAUAAAUAAAGCUGAAUUGAAUGGAAGUUCAUUGUAA